rnacentral:rRNA from 1 species
CCUACGGGGGGCUGCAGUGGGGAAUAUUGGACAAUGGGGGCAACCCUGAUCCAGCAAUACCGCGUGUGUGAAGAAGGCCUGAGGGUUGUAAAGCACUUUCAGUGGGGAGGAGAGUAUUUAGGUUAAGAGCUAGAAUACUGGACGUUACCCACAGAAGAAGCACCGGCUAACUCCGUGCCAGCAGCCGCGGUAAUACGGAGGGUGCAAGCGUUAAUCGGAAUUACUGGGCGUAAAGGGUGCGUAGGUGGUUAAGUAAGUUAUCUGUGAAAUCCCUG